rnacentral:misc_RNA from 1 species
CCAAUUAGUAUGUAAGAACAAAGAAAUUUUAGUCCACUCUCCACCAAAAUUAGAAACCCAUAAAAAUAGAAAAGCUAGUUCAAAAGCAAAACUUUCAACACUUAAAUUGUGUAUGAACCCACCACCAAUAAUCAGUCGAAAACAAACUUGAAUGAGCACAGAAGCCAAAACCGCUUUUAUCGUUUCGCAAAAAAAAUAUAUAUAUCCGUUAAAAGCCCAAAACCUUUCUAUAAUCUCCACUACAGAAAUCGCACAAAUCGAUAUGAAAAGCACCAAUUUUGAAAGUAAUCUUCAAUAAAACAUCAAAUGAUUUUUAAAAUGAACCGCAGCAUUGUGAACAAAAUGGGGAAUUCCCGUGAUCUCUGAGGAUCAAACGGUCAUAUAUAGUUCCCCCACACAUCGCCGACCACAAAAAAAGCGAACCCAAAACGUUUCGCCGGAGAAUCAAGACUCUAGAAAUAACGAAACGUUUCGCCGAUUAAAAACACAUACCAGAAGGGAAUUCUGAAUUCUCCCCACCAGCGAGAAAAACUGGCGGUGAUUUUUGCCAAGAAAAUUAAAAAAUAUACAUAUAUAUAGUCUCAAAAAAUCACUGCCAUAACCAUCCCUCUCGAGUCACCAUAUCCCCCUAACCCCUUCUCUCUCUCUCUCUCUCUCUC